CCACGCAGCGACGUCUGCAUUGCGCGUGGGUGUUUCUGCGGCACCCACUUGCCGGCUCGCGUGUGUUCGGGGGUGCAUAUCCUUCAGCGACUGAGGCGUCGCCAAGGAAACGCAGCACGAGCGCAGGAGGGGGCGAGCGCACGGAAAAGUAUCACGAUGCCUCUCUGCUCGGGUACGCGCGUGUGACAGACACCGGUUUUCUCUUUUUUUUUGCUGCCUUCUGUUGCUCAGCCCACACAACCACACAGGCAUCUGUACGCAUCACGGCCUUCGCAUACGCGUUGGUCGUGCAGUAUCGGCUUUACUGCAUCCAUGCCUUUGCCCGUGUAGCCCUUACCUGUCAUGAUGACCUGCGGGCAAACUUCACUGCGCGGUCUCACAGGGCGCAGUGUGUCCACACUCUGUCUGGGGAAGCCAGGAAGCCUUCCCCAUCCCCUGCGAAAUGCCAGAACCACUGCUGGUGGUGACAGGGCCAAUCACCCACGGCGUAGGGGGGGAGGCCAGCGCGAUGCAUCCCUGCUGAUGUCUGCUGUGAUGCCCUGGAUGGCGUUGCGUCGGGUCGCCCCGCGACCAUGUGAGCGCGUUUGUGUCAUCCAUGUGAUGGACGGUGUGUCACAGUGACUCGGAUGCGUAGCCCGCCCGUCUCUCACAUUGCCCACUGCUGAUGCAGGGAGCCUGGGUGUCACCCCGAGAGGGAUGCACCAGGUGGCUGCCGACAUGAUGGGGCAGGGAGGGGGGGGCAGCUGUGAGGCGCCCUCCGAGGCGGGCGGGUGGGGGGAGGCGUUCGAGGCAGGGACCGUGCUCUCAGAUGGCUGAAUCGGCGCAUCGGUGUAGCACGCGCAUCUCACGCUGACUCACACUGUGCGAUGGGGGCCUGUGGCUAUGCGGGGGCAAGAGUGGGACUUGGCCUCAUGUUGUGUGGCAGAGAAAUGGGCUUGCACUGAAGG
rnacentral:misc_RNA from 1 species